AUACGGAGGGCGCAAGCGUUGUUCGGAAUCAUUGGGCGUAAAGCGGGUGUAGGCGGUAUGGCAAGUCGGGUGUGAAAUCCCAGGGCCCAACCCUGGAACUGCACUCGAAACUGCUGAACUAGAGUCCCGGAGAGGGUGGCGGAAUUCCCGGUGUAGAGGUGAAAUUCGUAGAUAUCGGGAGGAACACCAGUGGCGAAGGCGGCCCUCUGGACGAUGACUGACGCUGAGACGCGAAAGCGUGGGGAGCAAACAGGAUUAGAAACCCCAGUAGUCC
rnacentral:rRNA from 1 species